AACGCACAUUGCGCCCCUUGGUAUUCCGAGGGGCAUGCCUGUUCGAGCGUCAUUACAACCCUCAAGCUUCGGCUUGGUAUUGGGCGCUGUCCGCCUAAGGACACGCCUGAAACCCAUUGGCAGUAGCGCCUAGCUCCUUGCGUAGUUAAUUCUCUUCGCAUCUGGAAGCCAGGUGGAUACCCGCCAGACAACCUUUUUACUUUCUAAGGUUUGACCUCGGAUCAGGUAGGGAUACCCGCUGAACUUAA
rnacentral:misc_RNA from 1 species